rnacentral:lncRNA from 1 species
ACAGUGCCCGCUCCAGGCUCUGCCGAGCCCGGCCCGUUGAGGACGAAUGUCUGUCCCCUGCUCCCACAGCCGAAGAGCCAAGACAGAAAGCAGGUGCUGGGCCUCUUCUGCACACGCACUUCCAAGAGCUGGAAGAAGGUGGAAGAGCUGCUGGCUUCCCGGCAGCACAGACGAGCAGUGGCCCUGGGAAGACCCACCGGUCGCAGCGCCCCCCGGUGCUCUCUUCGGCCUCCCGGUGGAGUCGGCUUUUGAAGCGGAGGAAUUACCGGGGUCUCACCUGAAGAAGAGAGCUGAGACCAGACCAAAUUCAUUGCACGGCUGAGACCCCAUAGAGCCCCCCUGGGGCGUUCUGCCAUGGUGGUACCCCAGCACCCAGCUCCCGAUUGCUGCAUCUCCCAGCUCCCAAGGAUGCUCAGAUCCCCUGGGAGCCCCAAAAAACCCAUGUACCAUGCCGGCGCAGUUCAGCAGCGAGGGCAGCGCACUGUCAGGUGUUGAGGUGGAGCUGACAAGCUCUGGGCACUGCAUGUCACUGGUCAGGAAGAGGUUUGCUACAGGUAGAGCUAGAGGGGGACUACGUGGGGGGAUCAAGGUCCUCUCCUCAUCCCCUGUGGCACCAGGGUACAUCGGGUCCCCUCCUUGGAGAGGACAGGGUCCGUUCCCUACUCUUUGGGGUGCAUGGGAGCCCCUUUCCUAGGGCGUACAGUGGUCCCUUCCCUGCUCCUCAUGGCCCUGGGGUGCAUGGGGUCCCUUUCCCAAGGUGGGUAGGGUCCCUUCGCCACUCUAUGGGGUGCAUGAGGUCCCUUUUCUAGGGUGCACAGGGGUCCCUUCCCUGCUCCCUAUGGCCCUGGGGUGCAUGGGGUCCCCUCCCUACCACCCCAAGCUCCAUUGCCCCUCACUGGGUGAUGCCCCCUAGCGAUGCUCAGGAGGGUGCAGAUUGAGCCCUGGCCGUGGGGCAGUGAUUGUCCCUGUGCUCGACACGUGGCCCCAGCCCUCGCAGCUGCCUCUCACCCCCUUUCCUCCGCAGGGAUCUAUCUGGCUGCCUUCCCCCAGGCUUCCCCCUUGGUUGUGUGUGAAACACUCGACGGAGGCCGGCUGGGGAAGGGGUGCUGCCAUGUGGGAGUCCCCUGUCCUCUCCCUCCUCCUCUCCCUCCGGCCCUCCCCGCUCCAUGACUGUCACUGCGUCCCCUCCCCUGUGCUGUGACAGGAGCAGGAGCUGCUCUUUUAUUAAACACUUUAUUUUCUAA